AUCGACCAUGGCCUCGGGCCCCUUUGGUCCUGUGGUGUACAGGUAUGUUUGUUUGCGUGUUGUUAAAUUGUAUGUGUCUUAAAUUUUGUAUACUAUACUAACACAAGUCCCCCUUUAGUCCUGUGCUGUAAAGAUAGAGAGAGGGAAAACCUGCUGGCGUUGUGCCAUUUUAUAUUUUAUGUUUUCUUUGGUUUACUUUGUUUCUUCAGUUUUGUUUGCUGUGUUCAACUUAACUCCGUUUUUAGUGAUUUGUGCUUACCUUGGUUUUAUCGUUGUCUUUAAUAAAACCUUUUUUCUUAAUUACUACAAACGUCUCUAUCUAAGUAACAGUCACUUAUUUGCGUGCCUUGUAUGGAAAUCUGAUUCUUUGGGUGAAAGUCCCCCGGUGGCGUUGUUGGUUGCUUCCCCUAAAGCCCCGUCACACGCCUCAAAAUAUUCGUAGCGAACAGAGUUACCACAAUUAGGGAGCAUUCCCGCCCUAGACAAUGGCAUUAUGUCAACUCUGCAUUAUAUCCCGCUGAUCAGGCUUCUUGAGGUUGGAAAGCUGAGAAGUUCAUCUAGAGCAAGACAUGGAGCCAAGGUCCUGCAUUCUUGCUGAAACCACAAAGUGAGUGUCCAAAGCUACUGGAUCAAGAGGAUUCAGCAACGAAGACCCAGAAAUCAAGACAUGUGCUACAGUCAUCAUGUGCAGCACAACGAAUAGCUUAGACCCAGUUAACAAGCUAAUUGCUUCUCGGGAUGGCUACCAUUAAAAUAGGCAGUAGCUUGGUUUCUCAGACCAAAGGAUACAUUGAUGCACCUAAACUAGAGAAAGGAGCUCCUGUUACGGUUUCAAAACCGCCACCUCUGCCUUCUGCCACUGGAGUCCCUGCUCGCUAUCCAUUGCGCAAUCGUCACCCUGUCACUUAGACACUCAAGGCCUCAUGUGUUUUCCAUCCUGGUAACGAGCUGGCUGGGUGUGGACACUGCACACCUGUAUCCAGUUUCCAAUCUUCACCAGAGCCUUCAAGUACCCUGCUUUUCCAUCACUCCUCGCCAGAUCUUCCCAUAGAAUCACCUGAUCUGCAGUUGUCUGUCUCCCACCGUCGCCGCUCGUCUAGAUUGUU
ensembl:lncRNA